UUUUGGCUUAUUUACUCCCAUUUUGUUUAUUGUUUUGUUUUUUUUUCAAUGAAAAAGCAAAUCAGGCAAAAGUUUACAGCCACAGUAAAAAUUUCAAGUAGGCCAGUUGACAGAAUUAGGUGGUGGCUCUUAAAAGUUACAGGAGUAUUAGCUGGCAGGAAUUUCUGUUUUCUGGUAGUCACACUGAGGUGAAUGUGAUCUAUCGUCUAUAUCAGUUCUUGUUGAAAACAAACUGGUGCAUGUCAGGGGUCGAUCCCGAUACCGAGGCUGGAGUCUCUGGCUCUCCCGCCUUGUCCAGGAGUGACUCGAAAGGAGGUGUCAGAAUCUGCAGCCAGAUGUAUUCUCAAAGGAGCUCUCUUAAAUGUUUAGCCAGCUCAUUUUUGUCUAGAUAAACUUGUGUGUGGGCAGCUUACGUUUAUGCAUUUCUCGUUUACAUUCAAACUGAAAAAUAAGGCCAUACUCCCCCACCACCAUUCACUCAAAUCAGUUCUAGAAAAGGCCACUGAGUCACCUUCCAGGCCAGCCAGAGCAUGUUCUUGUCAUUGCCUUUUUUGACCGUCAGCAGCAUUUGGUAGUUUUGGCAAUGGACUGUUUUAAAAGACUUUUUAAAAUUUUUUUUUCUCUUUUUUUCGGAGCUGGGGACCGAACCCAGGGCCUUGCGCUUGCUAGGCAAGCGCUCUACCACUGAGCUAAAUCCCCAACCCCUUUUUUUUAAUUUUUAAAUAAAUUGUUUUUCAUACAAUGUAUCUUUAUCAUAUUCCUUCCUCCCUCAACUCCUUCCAGAUUCUCCUCACCCAAUGUCAUGUUCUUUCUCCUCCGCCAAAAAAUCAAAAGAAACAUCAACAAAAUUCAUUGAAAAUAAAACAUACCAAAACAAAAAGUAUACAUACACAUGUGCACACACACAUGCACAAGCUUGAACACACAUGUGUACACAUGCAGAAGCCUGAACACACAUGUAUACACACACACACACACACACACACACACACACACACAACUGAUUUCUCAUUAACCCUUGUGAAGGCAACUUUUCUUUUUGCUCCAGACAUUUCUUUCACCCUUGACUGUCUUCCAUUCUUUGUUUUAUUGACAGGUCUCAUGUGUUUUCUUUUUUUCUUAAUGGUUUGGAAUUACUAAUAUACUAACAUUUAGAAUAGUGUGUUCUAAAAAUUUUUAAAAAUCCGAACCAGGGGAAAAAGCUAAUGCAAAAGAUACAAAAGUAUGGUCUCCUUUCUCCUUCACCCAUUCUGUGUCCCAUAGGUGUGGUGACAUUAAUCCUCUCCAGACACUUCCACUGAGCGUGAAAAAUAUUCUAUAAGUAAUUAUGUUAGUUGGCAGAAUUUGGAACAAUUCCAGAUAUAAAUGUAUGGCCAUUCUACCAUAGUUACUCAGUUUUGUAAGCUACUUAAAUAAAAAUAAUUAUUUAUUCAAUUAAAAUAUGCAUGGCUUUUCUUAUGUAUCCCUUUAUAUUUAUAAACCUGAUCUUGGGGCUUCUCAAGAUGCACCUAUGAGUCUGUAACAUCCCUUUAAUGUGGGUUCUGAGAUAGGAGAUGUACACCAAGCCCUGAAUUUCCCUGUUUUCCUCCUUCCUUUUCUUUGCUAUUCCUUCUUCUCUUCCUCCCUUCUCUACCCCCUCCCUUUCCUCUUUUUCCUCUUUCCCUCAGAGAUUAAAUCCGAGGCCUUGAAUACAUUCAACAAGUGCUCUGGUACCAAGGUACACCCCAGUUCCUGAGAUUUUAAGGCAAAGCCUUGCUGUGUAGCCCAGGCUGGCCAUUAACUCAUGACCUGCCUCUGCUGUCCUAAUGCUGGAAUGUUGUUGGCAUUCUGUCUAAGCUCCACCCCCACAGUUACCUGGCAACAGCCAGGUAUGCCUGACACUGUAAAAGGGGCUGCUUGCCCCCUCCUCUCUCUCUUGCUUCUUGCUCCCUCUUGUUCUCUCUUGCUCUCUUGCUCUUACCCUCUUCCCCUUUGUCCCUUCUCUCCCCAUUCCCCUCCCCGCUUCUCUCCAUGUGCUCAUAGCCUGCCUCUACUCCUCUUCUCCCUUCUCUCUUCUCCCUUCUCCCUCCUCCCUCCUCCCUCCCCUCCUACCCUCUUAAAUCCCCUCCCCAUGCCCUGAAUAAACUGUUCUACACUAUACUGUCGUAUGGCUGGUCCCUCAGAGGGAAGGGAUGCCUCAGCGCGGGCAUGCAGAGGCACUCCCUUUUCCUCAUACCUCACCACACCUCCAUAGAACACAAUCCCUCCUCUCCUUAUCCUUUUAUAAGCACAAACAGCCGUGGACCACAAGUCAGUCAGAUUCUGAAUUUCUGCAGUCAGAUGUUUCACUACUGAGUUGUGUCCUCAGAAUUCGGAAUUUCUAAUACGUUCACAGCACAUCCAGUUCUGCUGUUCUGGGGACCUUUGGAGGGCAAGUUUAUCCACUGUAUUUUCCGUAUUUCUUACUUCAGUUCACAGGGUGUGCCAGAGGUUUCUCUGACAAUGCAUAGAUUACUGCUGCUAUGUGUUCUCUCUCUCUCUCUCUCUCUCUCUCUCUCUCUCUCUCUCUCUGUCACACACACACACACACACACACACACACACACAAUCACAUGACGGUUGAAUAUCUAACUGUCUUGACAUCCAAGUUAAACUACUGCUGUUCUAGCUGUUGGUAAUAGCACACGCCUUUAAUCCCAGCACCCAGGAGGCAGAGACAGGUGAAUUUCUUUGAGUUCAAAGCCAGUCUGGUCUACAGAGCAAGUCCCAGGACAGCCAAGGCUACAUUGAGAGACCCUGCCUCAGAGAAACCAAUAACACAAGUGCUGCUGUUCUUUCAUAGCUUCCUGUGUGUGCAUUAGUGUUUAGCAUAUUAUUCAUGUAACUAUGCUCACAAAUCCCCAGGAGUGAUAGCUUUGUGGUCCUGCCUGUCUUGGAGUGACCAUUUAUAAUCUCAUUGGCCGCACAUGAGAAUGCUUGUUUUCCCACAGAUUUUUCUGGUAGACUAUGUUGGGAAGUGUUUGGAUUGGGGAACUGUGAGCAAAGGUGGUAUUUCAGUACAGUUUUCUGUACUCUGAGUAAAGUUCCUUAUCUUUUCAUGUGUCUAAUGGUGUUAUCUUAGGUUACCUUAAGUUAUCUUAGGUAAUGGUUAGGGUUACCAUUGCUGUGAUAAAACACCAUGACCAAAGCAAGUCAAAGAAGGAAAGGUUUAUUUGGCUUACACUUUAGUACCAUAGUCCAUCACUGGAGGAAGUCAGGACAGGAACCCAAGCAGGACAGGAACCUGGAGGCAGGAGCUGAUGCAGAGGCCAUGGAAGGGUGCUGCUUACUGACUUGCUCCACAUGGCUUGCUCAGCCUGCUUUCUUAGAGAACCCAGGACCACCAGCUCAGGGGUGGCACCAACCACAAUGGCUGCCUUGUAGGCUUCCUUACAGCACCAUCAUAUGGAGGCAUUUUCUCAGUUGGGGUUUCCCCCUGUCAGAUGAUUCUAGCCUGUGUCAAGGUCACAUAAAAUGUGAACUGUCUGUUACUAUCUUUUGACCAUUUUUCUCUUAGGUUCCUGGCCUUCCUCUUUUGCUGUGUAGAACAGUGGUUCUCAACCUUCCUAAUGUUGUAACCCUUUAAUGUAGUUCCUCAUGUUCUGAUGACCCCCCAACCAGAAAAUUAUUUCAUUACUACUUUGUAACCGUAACUGUGCUACUGUUAGGAAUUGUUAUGUAAAUACAUGACAUACAGACUGAUAUGUGACCCCUGAGGGGUCUCGACCCACAGGUUGAGAACCAUUGGUUUAGCCGGGCACCGCCUUGAUUUUGGAGUAGUAAACCCUUCUGUUCUGCUGUUUCAGUGUUUUUGAGACAACAAUGUUUUUUGUGCCCAUGUUCUUGUGAAUUUUCAUACAAUAUCAUUAGGAGUCAUUUUAUCACUACUUUAUUUUCUUAUAACAGUAGUGUUUGGUUUUCCCCUCGGUCUCUGGGCUAUCUAGUCUCUGGUCCUCGGUCACCCAAACAUUGUUUGGUAUGGGUUUCAUCUCAUGGAGUGGACCGUAAGUCAGAUCAGACAUUGCUUGGUUACUCCCAGAAGAUCUGUGCCACCAUCGCCCUAGCAUCUUUUGAAGGCAGGACAGAUUGUAGUCAAAGGGCUGGUGGCUGACUUGGUUUUUACAUUUCUCUUUUUGUAGCGUGCAGGGUAACCUUCCCGUACUAAAGACACUACUAGAACAUAGGGAUGAAGGUUCUACAUAGGCACCAGCUCCAACCUCCCCAUGUUCAGCAACUUGUGUACAUACUCAGAAGUGGUAUAGCCGGGACAUUAUUAGUUCUCUUUUUAGUUGUAUAUUUAAAAUUAAUUUAUUUUCAUGUGUUUAUUGAUUGGGUUGCUUGGUUUUGAGUUCUUUUAUUUCCUGUGCUUAAAUCCUUUGUCAUGUGCACAUCUAAUAAAGAGUUUUUCUCAUUCUGUACGCCAUCUCUUUACUUGAUUUUUUACUUUGCUGUAGAUGAACUUUUUGAAUUAUGCGAAAUGCUAUGUUUUAGUUCUUGGUAUUAGGAUCUUUGGUCUGUUUUGAAUUGAUUUUCAUAGAAUAAGAUGUAGCGAAUGACGUUCUUCUACCUGUGAACUUUCAGUUUUCCAAGCAGUGUUUAUUAAAGAGGUUGGCUUUUUCUAAGGGUAUGUUUUGGCAUCAUUGUAAACAAAGUUUUCACAACUUUUGCCAUGUGGUUUUAUCUUCCUCUCAUUCUAUGAAAGCAAUUUUUUUUUUUUUAAUUCUUGGUCUGCUGUUUGUCCCAUUACCUCAGUACCGGGGGAUUUUUGUUACUAUGGCUCUGGAGAGGACUUGACAUCAGAAAUUGUUACGCCCCAGGGUUGUCCCUUUGCUCACGAUUUCUUUGACCACUAUGGCUCCUUGGAGCUUCCAUAUGAAUUUAGGUUUUGUUUUUAUUUUUCUGUUUCUGCAAGGAAUGCAGAUUAGUUUUGGUAGUAUCAUCACUUUUGUUAUGGUGACUGUUUAUCCAGAGGCAUGGGAGGUCUUCCCGUCUUCUGCUGUCUUACAUUUCUCUUGAGUCAAGGUUCUCUUGUGUAGCUCUCUCACUUCCUGAGUCCCUGUGGUAGAAUGAAUAAGUAUGGCCCUCAAAACUCACGUGUUUGAAUGCUUACCUAAGAAGUAGCAUUUGGUGCGACCUUACUGAAGGGGGUGUGUUGGGGAGUCAGGCUCUGAGGUCUCAUAAUCAAUGGGCCCAAUGGGAUAGAUUAGCCUAUCAUUUUCUUUUCUGUGUGUCUUUACCUGUUUUUAUUAUUAUAGUAAUAUUAGCUUCGUGAGUUUGGCGUUUCUUCUUCUCUUUCUAUGUAUGGGACGGUUUGAGGACCACUGGUGUUAGUUUUCCUUUAUGGUCUGGUAGAAGUCUGAGUUUUUCUUCACAGGAGACUAUUACUGCUUCAAUCUCACUGCCUAUUGUGUGUCCACUUAAGUUGGGCAUGUCCUCUUUGCUUAAUUUUUAUUGACUCAAAGUCUCUGGAAAUGUUCUCAUUUCUUGUACACAAUCCAGUUCAUUGGAACAUAGAUUUUCAGAUUAUGCUGCAACGAUCAUCUGCAUUUCAUUCCUGACUGUUGUCCCUUUUCAUCUCUAAUUUUAAUCCUUUGGGCUACCCUCUUUGGUUGGCUUGUCUCAAGAGUCAUCACCCAUGCUCAUCUUGGUUCACUGAUUUUGUUUGUAGUCUUAAUUUAAUUUCCAUUGUUCCUUCAUUUCUGCCCUCAUCGUUUUGCUCCAUCUACUGAUUUUGAGUUUGGAAUGUUCUUGUUUUCCAUAGAUGUGCAUUAAAAACUGAGGAAUAUCUUAAAUAACUUAAUAGACACUCAUACCCCUGUGUUCUCUUGUCCUUAUCCCAGCAUCCCUUCCUCCUCCUACCAAGUCCCUGUUUACUUUUAUGUCUUUGAUUUUGUUACAUUUUUGUGUUGUGAUCUUACUGGGUUUGACCAGGGGUAACAUUUUGGAAUGGGUGUAGAGCUAUCUGAAGUAUGGAUAAGUAGGCGUAUCACAGCAGAUGAUGACUUCCCCUCUCCAUGCAGCCCUCACCUGCCAACAGCUCCCUGCCAAGCCUCUCCAUUGCCUGUGAAUGUACAUUCGUGAGUUCAGUCUGUGCAGACCUCAGCAGGCAACCACAGCUGCUGUGACUUCGUGAGUGCUGUGACUGUGGCAUGCCUAUAAAAGAGCAUUGUACAGCGCUCCUUCCCACCUUCCAGCUCCUUCCUUCUUCCUGAUUACGCUUUGUAGUGUUCGUUGAGCCUUAGAGCAGGGGUCCUCAGCCUGUGGGUCAUGACCCCCUUUGGAGGUCAUUUGUCACAUACCCCACAUAGCUAUUUACAUUACUAUUCAUAACAGUAGUAAAAUUAUAUUUAUGAAAUACCGUCGAGAUAAUUUGAUGGCUGGGGCUCACCACAGCGUGAGGAACUGUAGUAAAGGGUCGCAGCAUGAGGAAGGUGGAGAGCCACUGCCUUAGAGGAAGUGAUAGAUGGCCUGUUUCAGGCAGGGUACUCAACAGUCACUUGUUCUUAGCCCCUUGGAAGCUCUAUGCACUAACUGCUGUUGACUGCUAAGAGAAGCUGCAAGAGAAGCUUGACCAAGAUUGAGGACCACACUGGCCUAUGGGUACAAAUGUAAAUAUUUUUUAAAAAACAAAUGUUUAAGUUGAUAUAUUUGACAACAUGUUCUUUUACCAAAAUAAAGAUAGUGGGUUUUCUCCUGGUGUGCAUGACUUUCCUGGUCAUGGAGCUUUGGCCAGAUCCCCAGUGCUGAUCAACUGCCUGCCGUGGGCUUGGCAUCCUCUAACAUUGUGCCAGUAUCGCACCAGUAGGCAGUGCCAGGAGACAUCUAGGAGAAGCUAAGGCUAGCAGGCGACUUUCCUGGAGCUGACCUACCUUUUUGAACUCUUGAGAGGCAAGGUCCCAAGUGACUUCAUCUCAGGAUUGCUUCUUGUAGCUAAUAUGCCUUUCCUGUCACUAUUGCAUAGCCUAGGGAUUCCUGGGCAUUAGCCUACCCUAUUGAGAAAAUUUUCUGCAAAUUAACAUAAAGAUGAACUUUCAUGAAUUAAUACUGUUUAGAUGAAUUAAUGAUUUUAUAGAAUUCCUGAUUCAAUCUUAUAGAUAUCCUGAUUCGAUUAAAAUAAUUUUAGGAAGAGAGUUUUAAGAAAUGGUUUUAGUUGUUUUGUGAGAAAGAUAGAAUAAAGUUAAAAUCAAGAAUAGAAUGUGCCCAUUCCUCAUAAAAUAGUAAGUAAAGGCUGCAUGAUGAGGAAUACAAUGAGCCUUCACAAUUACACUGAGAAGAUAAGUGAAUAGGCUUGGACAGACUUGUGAUCAAGGAAAACCAUUCAUUCUAGGUCACGUCAAGGAUGAAGCCACAGGUGUGCACUGAUAAAAUGAGGUCAUGUGAAACUGUUGCUUUGAACUCAUAAUGAGCUUACAGAAUGAAGCAUUGCUUUGAAUUUCAUAUCAACAUCCUCCUAUAACUCCCCUUUUGUGUAACAUCUAUGAGGUAAUUUUCUACAAACUUUUGUCUAUGAAAAGGCCAGAGAAUAGAAAUAAAGCUGUGGCUUGGUGGCUCUGUUCCAUUCAUUCAUCCAAAUGUAUAUGCAUGGCAUUUGGGCCUCAGCCCCAUCCACCAAAUGUAUAUAUGUAUAUGUCUUGUCUGUGUGUAGGUAUUCCUAACACUUGUGCAGUAGAUGAAAUGGGUGUUCAGGUCUGAUGAGAAUGUGUGUAUAAGCGCGCGUGUGUGUGUGUGUGUGUGUAUUUGCCUGCACAGAGGAUUUUGAUUUUUUCCUUUCUUUGUAACAUUUUAUUUAUGAGGUGAUUCUUACACAGAGAACUAAGCAAUGAAAAGGCUUUGUAGCCACCUGCUUUAUCCUAGGUGUGUCUUGUCUGUGUGAGUGACUUCUUUCCUCCCUAGUUCACAAAGAGUUAAGGAGCUCUGAGCCUUCUGCCUGGCCGGCUGGGGCUCCUGACUGGCUUGAGGAGCUCUAGCAGUAAAUCUGUUGCCUAACAGCAUGUGUUAAUCGCCAAACACCAUAGAAUAAGCAAGAAAGUGUUAAGUUUCCAGACGCCAUCGGCUUCCAGCCCCCAGUAAGGUUAGUUACAAGGGAUCAUCAGUCUUUUGGCCUUUGUCCAACUCUCUCCCCUGAGGCUGGCACCCCACCCACCCACCCCCUGCAGACUUUACCUUGCUAGUUAGUAUUGUAGUAUGUAAUGUCCAAAGCUGGGAAAGAUGAUUGCUGACUUUUCUCCCCUACUUACCUGCAUAGCAAGUUCUAGGACUGUAAAAGCUAGCCAGAAGGGAGGGAGUUUGUCACUGCAGUGUGGAUUCUGUGUUCUGAAAGCAAGGGGGCAUGAUGUAAUCAGGACUUACCAUCUAGUUCUGUGGGACAACCAAGGGCAAUGGCUUCAUCUGUACAGCUUGGGGGAACUGCUGGGGCUUUACUGGGCAACAACUCUUAGGAAGUUGCAUCUAACACUUGGCAUUGGGAUUUCCAUGUUCAACCCCAUGGCUUUGGGACAUUGCUCUCCCAUGCACGGUUCAGACACUUUAAAAAUUAUUGCGCUGUUGAGAUUGGUUUAUAAUGGGGCUGGCAGGUGACUCAUGAGUAACACGGAUUGCUGUCUAACAGUGCCAGUUUGCCAGUUGGAUGACCUAAAUUUGAUCUCCAGAACCAGGCAAAGGUGGAAAGAAUCCUCAGAAUGUCCUCCAAGCUCCACUCAAGAGGCAUAGAACCUGCGCCACCCCAUUCUAAUAGUGCAUAAAAGACAACGAUAUAAAUUCACUUAUGAAGUAGUGUUUCAGUGUGGCUUUUCCAAACGUCUUUAGUUUUGGUCAGUGCUCCUCCAUCUCCUCAUCUUCCCUCCAGUGCCCUGUUCCUGUUUAAACCUCCCAUGCCCAGUAUUUCUUCUUUCUCACGUGCGUCCUGCCAUCCCUACCCUUCUGAAUAGCCUCCUUUUUCGCCAAGGCCCCUUCCUUCCUUCCAAGUCUAUAAACAUACCAAGUUAAGAAUGCAUAAUACAAGAAUUUAAAGCUAUGAUUCACACAGGAGAGAGAGCAUUUGGGUUUUGACAUUGUGGAUGGAUUAUCUCACAUGGUGUAAAAAUUUUCAGUUUCACCAAUUUUUCUAUAAAUGCCAUGAUUUUAUUUUUACUUACAGCUGAAUAAAAGUCCAUUGUGUGUAUUGCCACCUUUUCACUGUCUGCUCAUCAGCUGGUUGUCAUUUAAAUGGAUUCUACUUGCUCCCUAGUGUGAAUAGAACAACAGUGGACCAGAAUGUGUAAAUACCUCUACAGUAGGAUUUGGGAUCCCUUUGGUGUGUGCUCACAAAUGGUAUAACUGGGUCAGUGGAGUUCUGCUUUUAGGCUUUUCCCCUCUUGAAUCACUAGGCACAUUCAAAGUGGCUAGCUUAGUUUGCACUCUGCCCACAGUGUAUAAGGGUUCCUUCCCCUUUCGCUAAACCCACACUAGCAUUGAUCUUUUGUAUUCUUGAUUGCCAUUCUGACUGGGGUACAGUGGAAUAUUUAUUUCUCUAUAACUAAGGAUUAGCCAUUCAUACUCUUUGUGAGCUUUGUUCAGUUCCACACCCAUCUUUUAAUUGGGUGAUUUUUUUGACGUUCAGUUUUUCAGUUCCUUGUAUAUCCCAGAUGCGAAUUCUCUGUCAGAUGUAUAAGAGAAGAUUUUCUCUCAGCAGAUGUAGGGAAUGGACCAGUCCUGAACCAGGAUUAGGACUGUUGGUGCUUAGUGGACAGACCCAAGAUAGUGAUCAGAUUUCACUCCAGAUUUAACAAGUGGUCAGGAAAUCCCACAUCGUCCAGCAGCUCCAACGGAAACUGUGGAUGAAGAGUGGGACAGGCCCAGCACUGCCUUGAUGCUUGCUUAAUUCCAUAUCUCUCAGUGGCUUCAGGGGAACCUUUGGAACCAGGGCGGAUUUAACCCUGCCCACAGGCAUACUCAAGGUUCCACAUUUCUUCAAGUGGCUUCAAGUGAAGCUUCAGACUCAGGAAGGGACCAGAGUUGACUCUGGGUAAGAACCACAGACAUGGAGAGCUUCAUAACUCCCUGCCAAGGCCACAGAUCCAUGUAAGAGGCCCUAGCUGACACAGGGCAAUACCAAACCCUCAGAUUUGAGCUACAACUUCCAGCCCUGACUGCCAGUCCUACAAAGGAGAAUGGCAUCUAAGCCCUGCUAGGACUUCUCUCUACUGAACACUGGAAACACCACUGCUGAAAGAAAGUGACUUAAGUUUAAAAAAUGAAAACAAGAGAAUAAUUCAACCAACAAACCCACCAGAUGCACAGAUGCCAGCACAGAAACCAAAACAACAUAAAGGCAGGCACUAGUUUCUAUAGCUGUGAUGAAAACACUAUGACCAAAAGCAAUUUGAUGAGGAAAGAAUUUAUUUCUCUUACACUUCUACACCACUGUGCAUUAUCAUCAAAGGACACCAGGGCAGGAACUCAAGGUGGGAACCUGGAGGCAGGGGCUGAUGCAGAGGCCAUGGAGGGGUGCUGCUUACUCUGCUCCUUAUGGCUUGCUCGGCCUGCUUUCUUAUAGCACCCAGCACCACCAGCCCAGAGGUGGCACCACCCACAAUGUGCAGUGUCAGCCUGACUAUGGCCUGAUCUCAUGGAGGCAUUUUCUCAGCAAGUUUCUUCUUCUCAAGUGACUCCAACUUGUGCCAAGUUAACAUAAACACUAUCAAGCACAAGCAGAGCAUUGGGAUAUCAUAAAAUGAUAAGCCUGUUCAAACAAUGAUUACGUUCAGACAGGUCAACGAGGGCACACGUCAGGAGUACAAAACUAAAAAGAUGGCUGAUAAGGAAGUGAGUCUGAGUUAUGAAAAUAGAAUUGCUGAAGAAAACCCAAUCUAAAAUAAUGCUGGAAAUAACAAACUCGAUAAAUCAAAUAAAAACACAAACAAAAAGCCUCACCAGCAGAGUGGAUCGUGUAGGAAGCAGAGUCAAGGAUAGACAACAGGUGAAGAGCACGGAUCAUUCAGUCCUGGACAGUGGUAAAUUUAAAAAUAAUGUGAACAGAAAGUGGGAGAGUAUUGGGACACCACGAAAAGACCUAACAUUCAGACUAGGAGCCUAAAAAAAGAUAAUACCACAGAUAGGAUAUAAAAUGUUUCCAAUAGAAUUAUAGAAAAUUUCUCCAAACUAGAGAAGAAGAUGCCAUCUAGACACAAAAGAUAGAGCUCCAAAUAGACAACCAGAAAAGAGACUCCCUGUAACGUAUUAAAACCACAGAAUAGGGGCUGGGGAUUUAGCUCAGUGGUAGAGCGCUUACCUAGGAAGCGCAAGGCCCUGGGUUCUGUCCCCAGCUCCGAAAAAAAGAACCAAAAAAAAAAAAAAACCCACAGAAUAAUGACAGGCUAUUAAAAGCUACAAGAGAGAAAAGUCAUGUAUAAGGCAAGCCCAUCAAUACAACACUCGACUAUUCAGAAGAAAGAAUUAAAGUGAGAAGGGGCUAGGAAGGUGCGUUCAGAGUUCUGAAAGGCCAAUAACACUCUGCCAGAAAAACAAUUAAAACUGAAGAAAACGUAACUCCCCACAAUAACAGAUUAAAAGCUAUGUGUCCGCUAAAGCCGACUCUACAGAGGAUGCUGGGAGAAUACUUCGGUGUGGAGGCAAGGGUAAAUACACUCGAGUUCGCCUGGAGCAGUUUGAGAACAGUUAAUCCAAAAAGAAGAAAAGAGGUCUAAAAAUCCUCCAGCACAAUGUCAGACAUUGUGAAUGAAUAGACAUUGUUCAGGAAUGACUCAUAAUGGUCUCAAUUCUCCAAAAAAGAGACACAGACGUGCAGUUUGGUUUAGAAAACAGUACUGAUAUUUUUGCUACCUCCAAGAAACACACCUCACCAUCCACAAUAGAUUUUACCUUUGAGUAAAAGGAUGAUGACGGUGUUCCUAGUAAACAGAACCAAGAAGUAGGCAGCACAGGUGUUCUAAUAGCUAACAAAACAGACUUCAAAUCUAAUUAGAAGAGGUAAUGAGGCUUCAUACCCACCAGAGCAGCAAUCCACUAAUAAGACUCUGUAAUUUUAAACACAUGCACAACAACACAAGUUCAUAAAAGAAAUAUUAUUGGCUCUAACACCACAGAUUAGCCCUAAUACAGAGAUAAUGGGUGACUUCAAAACUCUUCUCUUACCAGUAGAUGAUGAGCUGGACAAAACCUAAACAAGCUUAGAGUUAAAUAUUAGAUCAAAUGCGUCUAUCAGGGAUCUGUAAAACAGUUCCACCAAGACACUAAGUACACUUUCCCCUCAGCAGAAUGUAUAAUUCUUUCCAAAGUCAACCACAUAUUAAAACACAAUGCAAGAUUUAACAAUUAUAGGAAAGUUGAAAAAAAUCUGCAUUGUGUCUGAGUACAGUGAAAUGGGCUAGACAUCAGCAACAAUAGAAGGCACUGUGCAGUAUUAUGUCGACUUGGAACAAUCUAGAGUCAUCUGAAAGGAGGGGCCCACAGUUGAGAGAAUGCCUCUAUAAACUAUGGCUGUGUGCAGUUUUCUUAAUUAGUGAUUGAUGGGGUGGGCUCAGCCUAUUGUGGGUUGUGCUAUCCCUGGUGGUCCUGGGAUCUAUAAGAAGUCAGGGUGAGCACACUAUGGAUAAGAAAGCCAGUAAGCAACAAUCCUCUGUGGCCUGUGCAUCAGCUCCUGCCUCUGGGUUUCAGCCCUGCUAGAGUUUCUGUCUUGACCUCUCUCAGUGGUGGACUGUGGUUUGGAAGUGUAAGACAACUUGUUCAUUAUGUUUUAUCAUAGCAAUAGUAACUCUAACUAGGACAGAGGGCAAGGAAAAUACACAGACUCACAGACUGAACACACUAUUUUUUUUUUCUAUUCUUUUUUUCGGAGCUGGGGACCGAACCCAGGGCCUUGCACUUGCUAGGCAAGCGCUCUACCACUGAGCCAAAUCCCCAACCCCGAACACACUAUUUGAUGGUAAUAUAGUCAAGGAAGAAAUUAAGGGGGGAAAAAUAAAAUCCCAGAAUUGAAUGAAAAUGAAAACAACAUAGGAAAGUCUGUGGAGCACAGUGAAGGUAAUCCUAAGAAGAAAGGUUAUAGCUCCUCAGACCUAUAUCAAAAUGUUCGAGAGAUCUAAACCACUUGAUGGUGCACUGACAAACCUUGGAAAAUUUGAAUAAACAGGAUCCCAAAGGAGUAGAAGGGAAGAGGCAAUAAAAACAGGGCUAGAAUUAAUAAAAUAGAAACAAAGGUACAAACAGAGAAUAAAGAGUUGAUUCUUUGAAAAGACUUGAUCAUUGACAAGCCAUUAAACAAACUACUUUCCCAAAGAGAAAAGCCAUUAGUAAAAUUACAGGUGAAAAGGAAGACAUUGAAACAGAUAUUAAGGAAAUGGAGAGAUUCAUUAAGGACAUACUUUAAAAGUUUAUACCCCAGCAACUUGAAAGUCUAAAAGCAAUGGAUGAAUUUCUAAAUGUGUUUGAUCUACCAGAGUUAAAUCUGGAUGAGAUGGUUAUGGACUAACAACAGCCAAUGAGGUGGAAGUAGUAAUUUAAAAUCUCCCAAUUGAAAACAUGGCCGGACAAGUUCAGAGCAGAAUUCUGACAGAUUGCCAAAGAAGAAUUAACACAGUAUGUGUCAAAUUAUUUCAUAAAAUUAAAAAAUUAAAAAGGAUGGAACCCUUUCAAUUAAAAUUUUUUUGAGACAAGUUUUCAUUGUCAUCCUUGCUGCCCUGAAAUUCACUAUGUAGACCAUGUUGACUGCAAACUCACAGCGAUCCACGUGCCCUGCCUUCAAGUUGUGGGAUUAAAGUUGUGCACUACCAUACCUUUCCCAAAUUCUUUGUGUGAUUCAGUAUUCCUGUGAUACCAAAACCAGGCACAGACCUGACAAAGAUUUAUAGGGCCGAUCUGAGGAACAUAGACACAAAACAUUUUUUUUUCAAUAAAGAACUUGCAAACCAAAUUCAAGAACAUAUCAAAAAGAUCAUCUGCCAUGAUCAAGUCAGCUUCAUCUCAAUGUCAGAAGGAUGAUUCAACAUGCAUAAACCAAUUAAUAUUAUCUACCACAUUAAUAUUCCAAGUACAGAAACCACGUGAUCAUCCUAUUAGAUGCAGAAAAGGCCUUUGACAAAAUCCAACAUCCUUUCAUGAUAAUAAUAAUAAUACCUAUGAAUACAAGUGAUAUAUUCUAACAUAGAGACUAUAUACCGGACACCCACAGGCAUCGUCAUCACGCUAAAUGGAGAAAAGCUAGAAGCAUUUCUGCUUAUGUCAGGAUCAAGACAAAGACGUCCACUUAAUCCACUUCUGUUCAACGUAGUGUUUACCUCAAGCAUUAAGAAAACAGGAGGAGACAAAAGGAAAAAAACAAACUCAAAAUUACCAGUAUUUGCAGAUGAUACAAUUCUAUACCUAAAAGACCCAAAGAUUCCACCAGAAA